rnacentral:rRNA from 1 species
CCUACGGGAGGCAGCAGUGGGGAAUAUUGCGCCAUGGGCGAAAGCCUGACGCAGCGACGCCGCGUGAGGGAUGAAGGUCUUCGGAUCGUAAACCUCUGUCAGCAGGGAAGAACGGUCACUGUGCUAAUCAGCAGUGAAUUGACGGUACCUGCACAGGAAGCACCGGCUAACUCCGUGCCAGCAGCCGCGGUAAUACGGAGGGGGCGAGCGUUAAUCGGAAUUACUGGGCGUAAAGCGCGCGUAGGCGGUAUGUCAAGUCAAGGGUGAAAUCCCCGCGCUCAACGUGGGAACUGCCUUUGAAACGGGCAAACUGGAGUGUGUGAGAGGAUAGUGGAAUUCCAGGUGUAGGAGUGAAAUGCGUAGAUAUCUGGAGGAACAUCAGUGGCGAAGGCGACUAUCUGGCACAUAACUGACGCUGAGGAGCGAAAGCGUGGGUAGCAAACAGGAUUAGAUACCCCAGUAGUC